CGAACGGGUGAGUAAUGUAUCGGAACGUAUCCAAUAAUGGGGGAUAACGAGUCGAAAGAUUCGCUAAUACCGCAUACGCCCUACGGGGGAAAGCAGGGGAUCUUCGGACCUUGCGUUAAUGGAGCGGCCGAUAUCUGAUUAGCUAGUUGGUGAGGUAAAGGCUCACCAAGGCGACGAUCAGUAGCUGGUCUGAGAGAACGACCAGCCACACUGGAACUGAGACACGGUCCAG
rnacentral:rRNA from 1 species